CGAAAAUUGGAGUAAUGUAGCGGACGCUACGUAUACGAACAUCGUGGGGAACGCAAGCCGCGUCGUUCGUACGCGCUUGCCGAGGGAAUAUCGCGAAGUGGGAAUACUGCGCGUUACGCAACCGAGAGAAAGACAAAUAAACACGCGCGUAUGGUGUCAUGUGAGUCAUCGCGCGUUAAGAUAGUUGGCGCAGAUAGCGAAAGUAAGACGCAAUAUGCUGGCGCGCGCGCUUGCUUUUCGCGAUAAUUGGCGACGAGAAGACGGGGCGUCGACUCGCGAAACGGAUUUCGAGGCCGAGCGAUCGAACGUUGACGAAAGGAUCAACUUACGCGAAUGGCCCCCUGCGAGCAGAGCGUCGAACGUUUUCAAGAAGAAAAGUUUAAGAUAAAAAUGCUCGGCAGUGCUGCUUGUGAGUAAUUCACCCGGAAACGUCGUUAAAGCCUAUGAAUAUAGCAAUGCAUGUCUAAAAGACAACUUAAUGCCGUCUUAAUUACUUGGCGACCAACUCGUCGAAUAAUAUCUACAUCACCAUUCAAACAUUUGGAAGUAGUCAUGUUUUUCAGUUAAACAAAAAAUUAUAUGUUAAUAUUGUUCAAAGAAAUCGUCUGUAAUAAAAAUUUGUCAUACGUUUCGUUUACUUUGUAGAAAACAUAUUUCUUUCUAAUCACGUCUCUCAAAAAUUCUUUGCUUCAUCGCAUUGAAUGUACGACUGCAUCCAAACUUUUGAACAAUAUUUAUUAAUCAUUUUGUUAAUAUGGGUAGAAUUAUUAAUAACACAAAGAAACGCCUUGGACAGUCAGGCUGGAUCUCGGUGCUGAAUGGUAUUUCUCGCAUUUCUUCUUUUGCAACACACCAAACUAUAUACGCGCCGAUGAUUUUCGAUAUUGAAACAGUCUGAAUUGAAGUCGAAAUAGUGUACAUAAUUAAAUUUAUAAUCAAUUUAAUGAUUGAAGAAUGAUUAGGAAAUUAUUAAUAUUUUAAUAUACAAGACAAAAUGACGCAUUAUACCAUCUUCUGUUUUGCAUAUUAAGCUAGAAGUAUUGUGUAUAUUUGUAUCAUUUUGGUUGUGCGACCUUGCCGGUCGAAUUAGUCAAGUACAACAUUCGGAGCUUAAUUAGAAUCCUCAAUCUUAAUUUAUUUUAUAUAUUCUAUCAGGCAGGUGUAUCAAUGCGAGUGCGUGUUAUAUUACAUUUACAUUGUUAAGUAGGAAAUUAUAAUAUUGAUGUUAUGUGACUGUUACUUGGUAUUUACUGGGUAUAUGUAGAUACUGUUAUCUCUGUACGAGCCAGAUAUUGAAAAUCUCAGUGAAAUAAUUUAACGCGCUAAUAUUUAGUCAUUGAACGACGCAAUGUUGAAAGCAUGAUCGCCCUGGCGAAAAUAAUAUGUUUAUAAGAAGUUUGUUUAAAUGUUGAGUCAAUGUUUUGAGUUUUAAAACAUUUAUUGAAUUGUUUGUGAGAUAUAAAUUUAAACAUGAAGUUGUUUAUGACAUGUUCACGGUUACAAGUGUUCAAAUUGCGUUUAAUGAUACAAUGUCAAACGUUUCAAUUAUAGUUUUCUAAGUGUUUGUACAAUGUUAUUGUCAGUAAAGAAUUAACCAGGUGUUUGCAACGUAUUUCUAAACAGUGUAACCGUCAAUAAAACUCUUCAUAAA